rnacentral:lncRNA from 1 species
GGGGAGGCAUUUCAUUUGAGCAUUGAGCUAUUUCUGUUGAUAAACUUGUGGUCUAUGAACUGAAAAUGGGAGAUUUGUUCUGCAGGUGUAGAUUGUGUUGAAAAUAGCUGAAAAAGCAUUCUUCCUAAAUGCAAAGCUGGUACCGCUUCUAAUUCUGUUGGUAGCAGUAGAAAAAGAAAAGUCGAGGCAGUUGAAAAUGUCUCAAAAAUGAAGAAAAUUGAAGAGUUAGUGUCCGAAUCAGAUUCAGAGUUAAAGGAGAUAAGCGACUACGUUAUUUCUGGUAAAGAUGUUGCCAAGCGCAGUGUUAGUGGUGACAGUGAAAAGAGCGAAGGAAGUGGGAGAAACAGUUAUGAUGGGGAUAAUGAUCCCUUGUCCGUGCAAUCUUGUUCAAGAUUCAUUUCCAUGGAGCGAUAUGACGUUCGAACGAUAAUGGACAAGGUCCUAACUACAUCACCCCCCAGAAUCCCUUGAAAUCAGUUUUUUAGUUUUUGUUUUGUUUUAUGUUUAUAAGUUUUUAUUUUGUAUUCAUUGCAGAAGAAGCUUUCUUGUAAGAUUGUUGUUAGAAGAAAGCUUCUUCGUUGUUUGCUUAUUUUGG